rnacentral:rRNA from 1 species
UGGGGAAUAUUGCACAAUGGAGGGAACUCUGAUGCAGCGACGCCGCGUGAGGGAAGAAGGUUUUCGGAUUGUAAACCUCUGUCUUCGGGGACGAUAAUGACGGUACCCGAGGAGGAAGCCACGGCUAACUACGUGCCAA